UACAGAGGUCCCAAGCGUUGUUCGGAUUUACUGGGCGUAAAGGGUGCGUAGGCGGUUGGGUAAGUCUGACGUGAAAUCUCCGAGCCUAACUCGGAAACUGCGUUGGAUACUAUCCGGCUAGAGGAAUGGAGGGGAGACUGGAAUACUUGGUGUAGCAGUGAAAUGCGUAGAUAUCAAGUGGAACACCAGUGGCGAAGGCGAGUCUCUGGACAUUUCCUGACGCUGAGGCACGAAAGCCAGGGGAGUAAACGGG
rnacentral:rRNA from 1 species